GAUGAACGCUGGCGGCGUGCCUAAUACAUGCAAGUCGAACGAACAGAUGAGAAGCUUGCUUCUCUGAUGUUAGCGGCGGACGGGUGAGUAACACGUGGGUAACCUACCUAUAAGACUGGGAUAACUCCGGGAAACCGGGGCUAAUACCGGAUAAUAUUUUGAACCGCAUGGUUCAAUAGUGAAAGACGGUUUCGGGUGUCACUUAUAGAUGGACCCGCGCCGUAUUAGCUAGUUGGUAAGGUAACGGCUUACCAAGGGGACGAUACGUAGCCGACCUGAGAGGGUGAUCGGCCACACUGGAACUGAGACACGGUCCAGACUCCUACGGGAGGCAGCAGUAGGGAAUCUUCCGCAAUGGGCGAAAGCAUGACGGAGCAACGCCGCGUGAGUGAUGAAGGUCUUCGGAUCGUAAAACUCUGUUGUUAGGGAAGAACAAAUUUGUUAGUAACUGAACAAGUCUUGACGGUACCUAACCAGAAAGCCACGGCUAACUACGUGCCAGCCGCCGCGGUAA
rnacentral:rRNA from 1 species